AUGCUCGCUUCAGCAGCACAUACACUAAAAUUGGAAUGAUACAGAGAAGAUUAGCAUGGCCCCUGUGCAAGGAUGGCAUGCAAAUUCAUGAAGUGUUCCAUAUAGAG
rnacentral:snRNA from 1 species